UACUAGAGUAGCACUCGCAUAUCAAUAAGCGGAGGAAAAGAAACUAACAAGGAUUCCCCUAGUAACGGCGAGUGAAGCGGGAAGAGCUCAAAUUUGAAAUCUUAAAGGGUUUCCCUUUACGAAUUGUAGUUUAAAGAAGUGUUUUCUGUUGAGGUUUUGGUAAAAGUUCUUUGGAAUAGGACAUCAUAGAGGGUGAGAAUCCCGUAUUUGACCUUUACUUUCAACUUUGUGAUACACUUUCAAAGAGUCGGAUUGUUUGGGAAUGCAGUCCAAAAUGGGUGGUAAAUUUCAUCUAAAGCUAAAUAUUGGCGAGAGACCGAUAGCGAACAAGUACCGUGAGGGAAAGAUGGAAAAGAACUUUGAAAAGAGAGUUAAACAGUACGUGAAAUUGUCAAAAGGGAAGCGUUUGACACCAGUGUUGUUUUUCUGAAAAUCAAUUAAAGAACUGUUUAUGCUAAGUUGUUUAGACUUUAUCAGCUAUCUGUUUAGUUUUAGGCUUUUCUUUAAUGCACUUUUCAGUUAACAAGUCAACAUCAAUUUCUUUUGCUGUAAAAAAGCUUGAGGAAGGUGGCUUGAGAUUCGUCUUAAGUGGUUAUAGCCUCUUGCCUAUGCAGUCGGAGAGAUUGAGGUCUGCAGCGUAGAUCCUUCGGGGCUAAAUGCAUUUGUGCUAAGUUAUAGCAUUUUAUAGACAACUUGUUGACUAUGAUUUGUCUUGUAGCUUACUCGCUUAUGUUAUUUUACCUACGCUUAGGAUGUUGAACUACUGAGACAUAGA
rnacentral:rRNA from 1 species